UGCGCAGGCGGGUUAUUAAGUCAGUGGUGCAAUCUCUCGGCUCAACCGAGAAACUGCCAUUGAAACUGAUAAUCUUGAGUAUAGUUGUAGUAGGCGGAAUAUAGCAUGUAGCGGUGAAAUGCUUAGAUAUGCUAUAGAACACCGAUCGCGAAGGCAGCUUACUAAACUAUUACUGACGCUCAUGCACGAAAGCGUGGGGAGCAAACAGGAUUAGAUACCCUGGUAGUCC
rnacentral:rRNA from 1 species